rnacentral:rRNA from 2 species
GGAACGUUUCGAAGGAACGCUAAUACCGCAUACGUCCUACGGGAGAAAGUGGGGGAUCUUCGGACCUCACGCUAUCAGAUGAGCCUAGGUCGGAUUAGCUAGUUGGUGAGGUAAAGGCUCACCAAGGCGACGAUCCGUAACUGGUCUGAGAGGAUGAUCAGUCACACUGGAACUGAGACACGGUCCAGACUCCUACGGGAGGCAGCAGUGGGGAAUAUUGGACAAUGGGCGAAAGCCUGAUCCAGCCAUGCCGCGUGUGUGAAGAAGGUCUUCGGAUUGUAAAGCACUUUAAGUUGGGAGGAAGGGCAGUAAGUUAAUACCUUGCUGUUUUGACGUUACCAACAGAAUAAGCACCGGCUAACUUCGUGCCAGCAGCCGCGGUAAUACGAAGGGUGCAAGCGUUAAUCGGAAUUACUGGGCGUAAAGCGCGCGUAGGUGGUUCGUUAAGUUGGAUGUGAAAGCCCCGGGCUCAACCUGGGAACUGCAUCCAAAACUGGCGAGCUAGAGUAUGGCAGAGGGUGGGUGGAAUUUCCUGUGUAGCGGUGAAAUGCGUACAUAUAGGAAGGAACACAGUGGCGAAGCGACCACCUGG